AUUGAACGCUGGCGGCAGGCCUAACACAUGCAAGUCGAGCGGAUGAAGGGAGCUUGCUCCUGGAUUCAGCGGCGGACGGGGAAGUAGUGCCUAAGAAUCUGCCUAGCAGCGGGGGAUAACGUCCGAACCCGGGCACUAAUACCGCAUACGUGCUGAGGGAGAAAGUGGGGGAUCUUGGGACCUCACGCUAUCAGAUGAGCCUAGGUCGGAUUAUCUCGUUGGUGGGGUAAAGGCGUACCAAGGCGACGUUCCGUAACUGGUCUGGGAGGAUGAUCAGACACACUGGAACUGAGACACGGUCCAGACUACUACGGGAGGCAGCAGUGGGGAAUAUUGGAGAAUGGUCGGAAGCCUGAUCAAGCCGUGCCGCGGGUGGGAAGAAGGACUUCGUAUGGUAGAGCACUUUAAUUGGGAGGGAAGGGCAGCAGGUUAGUACGUUGCUGUGUUGACGGUACCAACAGAAUAAGCACCGGCUAACUACGUG
rnacentral:rRNA from 1 species